rnacentral:rRNA from 1 species
AGUCGAGCGCGCCCUUCGGGGUGAGCGGCGGACGGGUGAGUAACGCGUGGGAAUAUGCCCUUCUCUAAGGAAUAGCCUCUGGAGACGGAGAGUAAUACCUUAUACGCCCUUUGGGGGAAAGAUUUAUCGGAGAAGGAUUAGCCCGCGUUAGAUUAGGUAGUUGGUGGGGUAAUGGCCUACCAAGCCUACGAUCUAUAGCUGGUUUGAGAGGAUGAUCAGCCACACUGGGACUGAGACACGGCCCAGACUCCUACGGGAGGCAGCAGUAGGGAAUCUUAGACAAUGGGGGCAACCCUGAUCUAGCCAUGCCGCGUGUGUGAUGAAGGCCUUAGGGUCGUAAAGCACUUUCGCCAGAGAUGAUAAUGACAGUAUCUGGUAAAGAAACCCCGGCUAACUCCGUGCCAGCAGCCGCGGUAAUACGGAGGGGGUUAGCGUUGUUCGGAAUUACUGGGCGUAAAGCGCACGUAGGCGGAUUAGUAAGUUAGAGGUGAAAUCCCAGGGCUCAACCCUGGAACUGCCUCUAAUACUGCUAGUCUUGAGUUCGAGAGAGGUAAGUGGAAUUCCGAGUGUAGAGGUGAAAUUCGUAGAUAUUCGGAGGAACACCAGUGGCGAAGGGGGCUUACUGGCUCCAUACUGACCCUGAGGUGCGAAAGUGUGGGGAGCAAACCGGAUUAAAUACCCCUGGAAGCCCACCCCGUAAACGAUGAAUGCCAAACCUCACCAAGUAUACUUGUUGGGGUCCCACCCAACGGAAUUAGCAUUCCCCCUGGGGGAGACCGGCCCCAGAUUAAAACUCCAAGGGAUUG